rnacentral:rRNA from 1 species
UGCGAAUGGCUCAUUAAAUCAGUUAUCGUUUAUUUGAUAGUACCUUACUACAUGGAUAACCGUGGUAAUUCUAGAGCUAAUACAUGCUAAAAACCUCGACUUCGGAAGGGGUGUAUUUAUUAGAUAAAAAACCAAUGCCCUUCGGGGCUCCUUGGUGAAUCAUAAUAACUUAACGAAUCGCAUGGCCUUGCGCCGGCGAUGGUUCAUUUCAAUUUCCUGCCCCUAUCAACUUUCGAUGGUAGGAUAGUGGCCUACCAUGGUAUCAACGGGUAACGGGGAAUUAGGGUUCGACUCCGGAGAGGGAGCCUGAGAAACGGCUACCACAUCCAAGGAAGGCAGCAGGCGCGCAAAUUACCCAAUCCCGACACGGGGAGGUAGUGACAAUAAAUACUGAUACAGGGCUCUUUUGGGUCUUGUAAUUGGAAUGAGUACAAUUUAAAUCCCUUAACGAGGAACAAUUGGAGGGCAAGUCUGGUGCCAGCAGCCGCGGUAAUUCCAGCUCCAAUAGCGUAUAUUAAAGUUGUUGCA